CCUACGGGUGGCUGCAGUGGGGAAUUUUGGACAAUGGGCGCAAGCCUGAUCCAGCCAUUCCGCGUGAGUGAAGAAGGCCUUCGGGUUGUAAAGCUCUUUCGCAAGGGAAGAAAACUUAUCCUCUAACAUAGGAUGAGGUUGACGGUACCUUGAUAAGAAGCACCGGCUAACUACGUGCCAGCAGCCGCGGUAAUACGUAGGGUGUUAGCGUUCGUCGGGCGUACGCAGCGUAAUGCGUGAGUCGGAUGUGAAAUCCCCGAGCUCAACUUGGGAACUGCGUUUGAAACUACAAGACUAGAAUAGGUCAGAGGGGGGUAGAAUUCCACGUGUAGCAGUGAAAUGCGUAGAGAUGUGGAGGAAUAUCAAUGGCGAAGGCAGCCCCCUGGGAUCAUAUUGACGCUCAUGCACGAAAGCGUGGGGAGCAAACAGGAUUAGAUACCCGAGUAGUC
rnacentral:rRNA from 1 species